CAAACAGAGAUACACCAGAGAGAUGUCCCCGUCCUCUGUAUUCCCAGGACUGAACAGAGGAGAAUCACAGGAUUCCACAGGAGGAUCAGGGGUUAUUCAGAGAUGUACACAGCCGGAUCUGCAUUCAUCUCUGCACAUGCUGAGGGCCACCCAGCACAGGGAAAGAACUCCCAGAAAGGUUCUACCUUCAUUUAAGUCAGAUGUUCCACCUAAAUAAACCA